GAUGAACGCUGGCGGCGUGCCUAAUACAUGCAAGUCGAGCGAACAGACGAGGAGCUUGCUCCUCUGACGUUAGCGGCGGACGGGUGAGUAACACGUGGAUAACCUACCUAUAAGACUGGGAUAACUUCGGGAAACCGGAGCUAAUACCGGAUAAUAUAUUGAACCGCAUGGUUCAAUAGUGAAAGACGGUUUUGCUGUCACUUAUAGAUGGAUCCGCGCCGCAUUAGCUAGUUGGUAAGGUAACGGCUUACCAAGGCAACGAUGCGUAGCCGACCUGAGAGGGUGAUCGGCCACACUGGAACGGAGACAGGGUCCAGACUCCUACGGGAGGAAGCAGUAGGGAAUCUGCCGCAAUGGGCGAAAGCCUGACGGAGCAACGCCGCGUGAGUGAUGAAGGUCUUCGGAUCGUAAAACUCUGUUAUUAGGGAAGAACAAAUGUGUAAGUAACUAUGCACGUCUUGACGGUACCUAAUCAGAAAGCAACGGCUAACUACGUG
rnacentral:rRNA from 1 species